AUCAGGAUGUCCGAGCGGUCUAAGGCGCUGCGUCCAGGUCGCAGUCUCCUCUGGGGACGUGGGUUCGAAUCCCACUCCUGACA
rnacentral:tRNA from 1 species